rnacentral:rRNA from 1 species
AUUGAACGCUGGCGGCAGGCCUAACACAUGCAAGUCGAACGAGUGGCGGACGGGUGAGUAAUGUCUGGGAAACUGCCUGAUGGAGGGGGAUAACUACGGGAAACGGUAGCUAAUACCGCAUACCAUCAGAUGUGCGCAGAUGGGAUUAGCUUGUUGGUGGGGUAACGGCUCACCAAGGCGACGAUCCCUAGCUGGUCUGAGAGGAUGACCAGCCACACUGGAACGGAGGCACGGUCCAGACGCCUACGGUAGGCAGCAGGGGGGAAUAGUGCACAAUUGGCGAAAGCCUGAUGCAGCCAUGCCGCGUGUAUGAAGAAGGCCUUCGGGUUGUAAAGUACUUUCCGCGGGGAGGCGUUACCCGCAGAAGAAGCACCGGCUAACUCCGUGCCAGCAGCCGCGGUAAUUC